rnacentral:lncRNA from 1 species
AUUGAGUUGCUGGGAAGAGUCUAGAAGGGGGUUGGGGCUCCCCUAUUUGCAAACUCUCAGGGGUCACAGGGGCUUGCUAGCCCAACCCAGGUGGAGGUGUGGGCUUCAUUCUUGGUAGCAAUUAUAUAUUGAAGGGAGAAAGACAAAGAAAAAAAGUUGCUAUCAAAUCAGGUACGUACCAUCUAUCCUUUUAUCAGCAGGGUGGAAGAUGGGGUGAAAAGCCAGAACUUUGUCUACCUUUUAUGAAGUAUUGGGCUUUUAAAGGUUCAGACCCACAUCCUGCUAAUAAUAAGCUUCAUGUUGUUUUCUAGGACUUCAUAGUAGAAGAUGCCUUUCUGUCAAAAUGCAGAAAGUGAAAUAGCAAAAGAUGAAUAGAAUAUUUCCAGGUCUUUGCAUUUGGAUUUAAACUGAGAUGAUUAAUUUUAUUUCAACCUCAUACAGCUUGUAAGGACAGAUUUACCCAACGCCAGCUGUCCUCACAUUUGAAGACUGUAGCACAAAGAUAAAAUUAGAAUCAAGUGUGGAUCGUAUUCCUCAGCAAGAAUUCUGCUCUGUGUCCUACUGAUGCCCUGAGCCACAACUGUCGAGCCAAAUGCCAGCACUGCUGCUGUUUUUCUAGGACUUCCUAAAUAGAUACAGUUUAGAAACUGGCUAUGUCACCAAAAGAUUCAUGAGCCCUCAACACACACACACAGAGAAAGAGAGAAAGAGAGAAAGAGAGAGAGAGAGAGAGAAAGAGAAAGAGAGAGAGA